rnacentral:rRNA from 1 species
ACGAAGGGGGCUAGCGUUGCUCGGAAUUACUGGGCGUAAAGGGAGCGUAGGCGGAUAGUUCAGUCAGAGGUGAAAGCCCAGGGCUCAACCUUGGAACUGCCUUUGAUACUGGCUAUCUUGAGUUUGGGAGAGGUAUGUGGAACUCCGAGUGUAGAGGUGAAAUUCGUAGAUAUUCGGAAGAACACCAGUGGCGAAGGCGACAUACUGGCCCAAUACUGACGCUGAGGCUCGAAAGCGUGGGGAGCAAACAGGAUUAGAUACCCUGGUAGUCCACGCUGUAAACGAUGAGUGCUAGUUGUCGGCAUGCAUGCAUGUCGGUGACGCAGCUAACGCAUUAAGCACUCCGCCUGGGGAGUACGGUCGCAAGAUUA